CAAAUUGUCGAACACGUAAAAGCUUCAACCUCGGCCUAAGAGCAUCGCUCUUUGACUAUCCUCUUGCUAGCAGAAUCUUCGUUACGAAUUUGCCAUAUUCUACCAAAGAAAGGCGUUUGCAGAAGGAAUUUUCCAAUUUUGGCGAAAUAGCUGAAGUUAAGCUUGUUAAGGAUGAAUUCACAAAAAGAUCAAAAGGAUAUGCUUUCAUUCAAUAUACUUCUCU